GGGGAUAUAGCUCAGUUGGUAGAGUGCUUUCCUCGCAUAUACAAGGCCCUGGGUUCAAUCCCCAGUACCACCA
rfam:Ictidomys tridecemlineatus contig029449, whole genome shotgun sequence.